rnacentral:rRNA from 1 species
CCUACGGGAGGCUGCAGUGAGGAAUAUUGGUCAAUGGGCUUACGUCUGAACCAGCCAUGUCGCGUGAGGGAAGACUGCCCUAUGGGUUGUAAACCUCUUUUGUCAGGGAGCAAUUGGCGCUACGCGUAGCGUUAUCGAGAGUACCUGAAGAAAAAGCAUCGGCGAACUCCGUGCCAGCAGCCGCGGUAAUACGGAGGAUGCGAGCGUUAUCCGGAUUUAUUGGGUUUAAAGGGUGCGUAGGCGGUCGGCCAAGUCAGAGGUAAAAUCUGGGGGCUCAAAUUCGCUCGGCCGUUGAAACUGUGGCGGCUAGAGAGGAGUUGCGGGAGGCGGAAGGUAGGGUGCAGCGGUGAAAUGCUUAGAGAUCAUACAGAACACCGAUUGCGAAGGCAGCGUAACAAGCUACUUCUGACGUCGAGGCACGAAAGCGUGGGGAGCAAACAGGAUUAGAUACCCGAGUAGUC